GUUUGUUUGCAACUGGAAUCACUUUAUACUUCGGAUGGGUAGUGUUUGUUUUUUCAGUGAUAAGAUUAUAUCGGCAAUUACUGUUUGUGGUUCUGUUCAAACAAACACGCUUGUAAGGUAGCAUGUUAUGUAACGCAUUACAAAUCUCUAUUUCAUAGGUCUUCCAAACUUUAGAAAAAAAACCUCUGAAUUAAUGACUCCAAGUUUUCAAAUUCUAAGUAGCGCAUUUCUCAGUUCCAGGAUUCCUGGAAAACACUAAGAAUAACUGAGAAGAAACCAGGAACCACAAGAGCACAACAAAUAGCAGCUGUAACACAAUUAUAACAACCUACUUGAUUUCAUAACUCCAGGGAGUAUUAGAAAUUUCAACAUACUUUUUGGGCAUAUAUUCAGUUUUCAGGCUGGAGUCAUCAAUAAAUACAUGUUUCCAUACUUUUGUUUUAGAAUUGUCUUUUGCUGAGUAUAUAAUGAUUUUUCGGAUGCUCAGGAUUACAUCUCCCACAAUCAAAACACAGUCCAGGGAUAUAAUAGGAUUUACUACUACCAAGAUUAAUACUGAAAAUCCAUCAACAAAAAGGCAUAUAUAAUAAAGCUUCUGCUGAAGCAUUUGGAACUGGUCAAUAUUACAGACAAGAUACUGCACUGGCCAUCCGGUUAACAAACAGUGACCUGCAAACACCUGACCAGAGGACCAAUCAAGAGACAAGAUACUUUCAAAUCUCGUGGAGGGAAGCCUUUGUUUGUGGGUUUUGGGUUUGGCUUUGUUCUCUCUGGGUCCUGGACGGGACUAGAGGUGCAACCAGGUUUCUGCCAAUCUCCCUGCUACAGUCUCUUAUCUAUUCAGAAUUGUGAGUAAGAAAAAAGGCGGUUAUAGUCUUUUAAUUUGUUUUCUUAUUUGCAUAUGUGUACUUGCUGGAAGUAGCUUAAAUUGUGUUUCUGCUGGAGAAAGUUUCUUUCUAUUGUUUAAUAGUUCAAAGACCCUGUAACUGUUUACCAUCUCAAUUGCAGAGAUAAACCUUCUACUUUUUUCUUUCUUUUUUAUUAAAAGUUUUGCUUUUAAGACCUGUUGAUUUUUCUCUCCUAAUUAAGGCUCAAAGAAAUUGAGUCUGUAUAUACCAGGGAAUUGGUGGGAAGCAAGGAAGGAAAGGUACAUUUGUAUUGCCUCUGGGUGAGUGGGAGAGAGAAACUUGAUCUCUCUGUGUUGUGUUUCAAGGAAUUGAUUCACGGUAUCUCCUAGUGUACCCAGGCAGGAAAGAUCUGGGAGGAGGUAAAGAGGUGGGAGAGAAUGGUUUAUUUCCCUUUGUUGUGAGACUCAAGGAACCUGGGUCUUGGGGUCCCCUGGGAAGGUUUUGGGGGGACCAGAGGGUAUCAGGCCCUAAAAAUUCCUGAUUGGUGGCAGCGCUACAGAA